rnacentral:rRNA from 1 species
UACGGAGGGUGCAAGCGUUAAUCGGAAUUACUGGGCGUAAAGCGUGCGCAGGCGGUUUGUUAAGUCUGUUGUGAAAUCCCCGAGCUCAACUUGGGAAUUGCAAUGGAUACUGGCAGGCUGGAGUAUGGUAGAGGAAGGUGGAAUUCCCGGUGUAGCAGUGAAAUGCGCAGAUAUCAGGAGGAACACCGGUGGCGAAGGCGGAUCUCUGGGCCGAUACUGACGCUGAGGAGCGAAAGCGUGGGGAGCGAACAGG